rnacentral:rRNA from 1 species
CAGAGGUGGCAAGCGUUGUUCGGAAUUACUGGGCGUAAAGGGCGCGUAGGCGGCCUUCUAAGUCAGACGUGAAAUCCCCGGCUUAACCUGGGAACUGCGUCUGAUACUGGGAGGCUUGAGUGCGGGAGAGGGAUGCGGAAUUCCAGGUGUAGCGGUGAAAUGCGUAGAUAUCUGGAGGAACACCGGUGGCGAAGGCGGCAUCCUGGACCGACACUGACGCUGAGGCGCGAAAGCUAGGGUAGCAAACGGGAUUAGAUACCCCGGUAGUCCUAGCCCUAAACGAUGAGUGCUUGGUGUGGCGGGUAUCGACCCCUGCCGUGCCGAAGCUAACGCAUUAAGCACUCCGCCUGGGGAGUACGGUCGCAAGGCUG